rnacentral:rRNA from 1 species
UACAACAUAUCAUUAAUGCAUCGGAUCCAAAUAGAACUCCGUUGUUAAGAACAAUCGGGCUAGAGUAGUAUUGGGAUGGGUGACCGCUCGGGAAUUCCUAGUGUUUUAC